AUUGAACGCUGGCGGCAGGCCUAACACAUGCAAGUCGAGCGGAUGAAGGGAGCUUGCUCCUGGAUUCAGCGGCGGACGGGUGAGUAAUGCCUAGGAAUCUGCCUGGUAGUGGGGGAUAACGUCCGGAAACGGGCGCUAAUACCGCAUACGUCCUGAGGGAGAAAGUGGGGGAUCUUCAGACCUCACGCUAUCAGAUGAGCCUAGGUCGGAUUAGCUAGUUGGUGGGGUAAAGGCCUACCAAGGCGACGAUCCGUAACUGGUCUGGGAGGAUGAUCAGUCACACUGGAACUGAGACACGGUCCAGACUCCUACGGGAGGCAGCAGUGGGGAAUAUUGGACAAUGGGCGAAAGCCUGAUCCAGCCAUGCCGCGUGUGUGAAGAAGGUCUUCGGAUUGGAAAGCACUUUAAGUUGGGAGGAAGGGCAGUAAGUUAAUACCUUGCUGUUUUGACGUUACCAACAGAAUAAGCACCGGCUAACUUCGUG
rnacentral:rRNA from 1 species